AGUGAACGCUGGCGGCGUGCUUAACACAUGCAAGUCGAACGAGAACGGGUUAUAGCUUGCUAUAAUUGUCAGCUAAGUGGCGCACGGGUGAGUAAUGUAUAGGUAAUAUGCCUCUUACUAAGGGAUAACAAAUGGAAACGUUUGCUAAUACCUUAUACUCCUUAUUAACAUAAGUUAAUAAGGGAAAGAUUAUUGGUAAGAGAUUAGCCUGUAUUGUAUCAGUUAGUUGGUGGGAUAAUGGCUUACCAAGACUAUGACACAUAACUGGUUUGAGGGGAUGAUCAGUCACACUGGAACUGAGACACGGUCCAGACUCCUACGGGAGGCAGCAGUGGGGAAUAUUGCACAAUGGACGAAAGUCUGAUGCAGCAACGCCGCGUGGAGGAUGACACAUUUCGGUGCGUAAACUCCUUUUAUAUGAGAAGAUAAUGACGGUAUUAUAUGAAUAAGCACCGGCUAACUCCGUGCCAGCCGCCGCCGUAA
rnacentral:rRNA from 1 species